ACCCAAGUGGCCGAAAAGACAAUCGAGCCCUCACCACCGUCGCCAUGCUCUCUGCUGUCUCGUCUUCCCUCGUUAUCUUCCACAAGCCCUUCACUCGCGCUCUUCGACUGCCCCUCCCCAAACUCCCUCUCACCCCAAACCCUAGACCCCUCUCUUUACUCUCCCCGGCCGCUUCUUCUCUCACCCCCAAUGCCACCGGAGGCGGUCGCCUCGGGGCUCUAUCUCCGGCGCCGGCCACCGAUGACCUCCAGAAGAUCGACGUUAACCCUCCCAAGGGCACCAGGGACUUCCCGCCCGAAGAUAUGCGCCUCCGCAACUGGCUCUUCUACAAUUUCAGAGAGGUCUCGCGGCUGUUCGGCUUCGAAGAGGUCGACUUUCCGGUUCUUGAGACGGAGGCGCUGUUUAUCAGAAAAGCAGGGGAGGAGAUUCGUGACCAGCUGUAUUGCUUCGAAGAUCGAGGCAAUCGUCGCGUCGCGUUGAGGCCGGAGCUCACUCCUUCUUUGGCCAGGCUGGUGAUACAGAAAGGAAAAUCUCUGUCCCUGCCAUUGAAAUGGUUUGCCGUUGGGCAGUGUUGGCGGUACGAGAGGAUGACAAGGGGGCGGCGUCGGGAGCAUUACCAGUGGAAUAUGGAUAUUAUUGGUGUACCUGAGGUUACGGCUGAAGCAGAACUUAUUUCUUCAAUUGUCACUUUCUUCAAGCGAUUAGGAAUUACGGCAUCAGAUGUUGGAUUUAAGGUUUCAAGUCGUAAGGUUUUACAAGAAGUACUGAGGCGCUAUUCCAUACCCGAAUCUUUAUUUGGCAAAGUUUGCAUCAUCAUAGACAAGAUAGAGAAGAUUCCAGUGGAUGAUAUAAAAAAUGAGUUGAAAUCUGCUGGUGUAUCAGAAGAGGCUAUUGAACAGUUAUUGCAAAUUCUUUCCAUAAAGUCAUUGACAAAGCUGGAAGAGGUUCUUGGAGAUGCUCAGGAAGCAGUUGCUGAUUUGAAACAGCUAUUCUCUCUUGCUGACAAAUUUGGUUAUUCUGAAUGGAUCCAGUUUGAUGCUUCUAUUGUUCGUGGCCUUGCCUACUACACUGGUAUUGUUUUCGAGGGUUUUGAUAGAGGAGGAAAGUUACGGGCCAUUUGUGGUGGUGGGCGAUAUGACCGCUUGCUUUCUACUUUUGGUGGUGAUGACAUUCCUGCUUGUGGAUUUGGAUUUGGUGAUGCCGUCAUAGUGGAAUUGCUUAAGGAGAAGGGCCUUCUGCCGGAACUCAGCCUGCAAGUAGAGAACAUUGUGUGUGCUCUUGAUCCUGGACUUAAAGAAGCAGCUGCAACAGUUGCCACCAUACUCAGGGGGAAAGGUCAAAGUGUUGAUUUAGUCUUGGAGAACAAACCGCUUAAAUGGGUAUUCAAGCGUGCAGCACGGAUAAAUGCUAAUAGGUUGAUAUUGGUGGGAGAAUCAGAGUGGCAGAGGGGUAUGGUGAGUGUGAAAGUCCUUUCUUCUGGUGAACAACAUGAGAUCAAACUUGAUGAACUAGAGUGAUAAGAAGUUUGGUUAUUUGGAGGUUGUAUGGUUUACUUUUAUCUUUGUAGAUUGUGUUUAGAAUGGUAAUGGUUGCUCGGAGUAGAAGAAGAAUGCGACCCAGUGUGUCUUCCUGAUGAAGAAGAACGUGCAGAUGACUUGAAGUCUUCCAGAUAAUGCUCUGCCGAAUCGUCUAGGUACUGUGAUCUUUCCUUUCAGAAAGUCGAUUUUCUAUAUUCAGUCAUUUCUUUUUAAUUCAGACUGGUCUUUGUUAGCCGAUUUAGAGCAAUUUGAAAAUACUCAUACCCUAGAGAAUGACUUCUUUGGGUCAUUUGCCUGAAGAGAUUUGCUUGGAUAGGAUAGUGUGGGAGGAAGUUUUUUAUUUUUGGGUCUGGAUUGUAGGAGGAAUUUGUAAGUUCAGAUCCAGAAAAGAUUAUUUCAGGUGGCAAAAUUAUUAGGUCAGACCAUGUGCUCACUGCUAAGUUUCUCACAAAGACAAAUCUCCAAACCCAUAGGCUAGCACUGAGUGCAAGAUCCAAAUCUUCCACCGUGGUUCGGCCUUUGCAUCCCACAUUGUCAUUUAAGGGUUUUCUCCAUGCACCUGCUGUUGCAGUAUGUAAGGUCAACCAGUAAAUUAUGUUGUCCAAAGUAGUUGUUUCUUCAUCACUGCUGCAUCUUAUCUGUUAAGGAACACCGAAUAUAUUUGCAAUUUUAAAUCCUGGUUACGGUGGUAUUGCCAUUCAGAAUUUGGGUUUUACAUGAAUAAAUUUUAAGGUAGUAGAAGAGGAAACAUCGAGCAGUUAAGACGAGAAUUUGAAGUUACAGAGGGUGAGUAUGUUGCUGGUGACCAUAUGUAAAUACAGCAAUUGUUGUGCCCAAAUCAGACUGCUGGACACAAGUACAGUCAAAUAAAACAUUGUUUUCUGAGGUCUAGUAAAUGUUAUAACGUGCACCGAAAGUAGAUACAAACGUUAACUUCUGACAGAUUUUAUGUAUCGUUGGUUUCCUGUGAACGAUCCAUUGUUUAAAGUUGUCAUCGACACAUAGGAAAUAUAAAGUAUGAUCCCCUUGCA